rnacentral:rRNA from 1 species
UACAGAGGUCCCAAGCGUUGUUCGGAUUCAUUGGGCGUAAAGGGUGCGUAGGCGGCGCGGUAAGUCGGGUGUGAAAUCUCGGGGCUUAACUCCGAAACUGCAUUCGAUACUGCCGUGCUUGAGGACUGGAGAGGAGACUGGAAUUUACGGUGUAGCGGUGAAAUGCGUAGAUAUCGGGAGGAAUACCGAUGGCGAAGGCAGGUCUCUGGGCUGACACUGACGCUCAUGCACGAAAGCGUGGGGAGCAAACAGG